UCCCUAAACCCCAGUAACUACGUCUGAAAUCCAGCCUGCAAUGCCAUUUGACACUACAUUGUAAUAACGUUGGAAUGUAUUACUAAAUAAGUUGCUGCAUAUCUUAGAAUAUUUUGUCAGCUGUAGAUAGGAGUCACAAAGACUUGCUAAAUGUUUUCCAGAGCUUGAGACUCAAGGUCAGACCUAUCCUGUAGAUUUACAAUACCUUAUAUUCUUUGUUUCACAUUAAUUUAAAAAGUAAUGAGAGGAAAUAUUUGUGAAGAAAGCUUUUCCAUUUUUCAGUCUGAGUCAAUUCAUCUGAUAAAUGUUAUUACCUUUUCAUGUAAGCCUUGUUCCUUUUAUAUCCUUAGACUACAAUAACUAUUAUUUUAAAAGCCCCAACAGUACUCACAACAAUAAUAAAUUACAUAAGCUCUGAAUUCCCUUGCAAGGGGUUAGGAAAGUCACUAAGGACAAAGAAUAUCAAUACUUUCCAAUCAAAUACAGUACAAAAGUAACCAUAUAAAAUACAAUCAAAAGGAUUUUUGGUAUACUUUUCCAAAUGUACAACAAGAGGUAACAAUGUAUUGUUUUCCAUUAUAUUUCCUUGUUAUUACUGAAAAUGUAUAUGACAGACAAGAAAACGCCUUUACAAGAAAAUUGGCAUAAAGUUCAGUAGCAGAAGUCGCAGUGAGAAGAGGAUGCUGAAGUGUGUUGAAACCUGUAAGCUUUGAAAUAGGAAGGAGUGUCUUUCAAGAAGCAACAAAGAAAGGCAAGUACUGUUCUGCUACAGUCAAGAAACAGAGAGGUAAAAUGCAUACUCAAAAUAACUACAGAAGCUUCCCACUUGAUUCAAUCUAAGAUUUAUCUCUCAUAUUAUAGUAAAUUCAUAUGUUUAUCCAAGUGUACCAAACAAUAUGUUAAUUCAGUUGUUUAUUUUGGGCUUUCUUGCAGACUUUGGAAAUACUACUCAGUGUGAUGUAAUCAGGACAAGAAAUGCAGCUGGUUGGUUUUGGCUGGAAGAGCCAAUGCAUCUGAUUAUUCAGCUGUGUUUUUAUGCACCAAGAUGUAAUGUUGAUUUACUUUUGACAUCUUGCUGUUUAAUAUGUUAUGAUAAAAUAAACCCUAGUUUACAUUAUGCCAGAAACUGCUGGUUAGAAAGAAAACAAGUAAAACUCGUAAUGAAAGUUUAUUGAGCUUGCUGAAAAGCAUCUUUAAGACACCAACUAACUCAUGUCUUAAUUUUUUUCAUAGCAGGAAGCCAAUUUGCCCCUGUUGGUUGAGAUAAAAUUCCUUCUACGUGCACAAUGGAACUGCUAGUUACUUCCAGUUAGGUGUACACCAGAGCUUAUUUUUAAAGCUGCCAAGUGACAAGCACAUCUUCAGUGACAGACACCAACAAGGUCUCCCUACAGUCAACUUUUACUUAACAGAGCAUAACUACAUGCAAUUUCUGCAUUACCUCGCACCCACCUCUCUCACACUGUCUGAAUCGCAGUCAGUAUUCUUCAGUGUGUACAAUUUGCUGCUGCUGUCCUAUGCUUUCAAUGAGACAGGGAAGAGAUGGUUGUCUUUUGCACCUUUCUGACAAAAAAACCAAAGGAGCUCUGUCACAAGGUCCUUAUCUGUUCUGAACAGCAACAACGGGUGAAGCAGUGUGAAAGGGAGAAAAGCCAUUUCAAAGGAGAGGCAGAACUGUAAUGGAAAAAGGGAGCAAAAACAAAACCAAAGUGGAGACAGUACAAAAAAAAAAAAAAAAGAGAAAAGAUAAAAGGAAAUAAAACGUUAUAGAGACUGGAAGGAAUGGAUUUUAAUCAAGCAUAUUACUGUAAAGAAUGGGCAGAGACAAAGCCAGACAGGAAGUUGCAAAUACUUAAAUUUUGCUUGAAUAAGUUGCUGCUGUUAAAAAACAUAACUAGAUCAGAGAAAUGAACGGUGGGAAUAUUAUUUUAAGAACUUGUUGGUGAACUGGCAUAAACAUCUGUCUUGGUUGUCAAAUAUCAGAUGUUGAAGAUGUUAGCUAAAAUAUUUGCAGAAAUAAAAUAUAUAUAAAAUAGGGACAAAAGUAGAGGUGUUACUCUGCUCUGUUAGAACAUAUCAGGUGCAGUACUAAGUAAUAACUUUUGAGUUUGUUUUUUUUUUUUCUGCUUGGCGGGGCUUUUGUAGUCCAAUGGCUACUUCUUCUACCUAGGCAUAUAUUUAACAAGAUUAAAACCACAAUCAACAGAUCAGCAAACAGAGAGGUAUAAAGGCAACCAGCACAUGGGUCCAGUAUGCAGUGCAGAAGUACAGUGGAGAAGCAUAGGUUAAGAUCUUCGACUUUUCUUGAACUGCAGCAAAAAGGAGCCCUGAGGACAGGAACCCCGUGACCCUCUGCAGUGGUGGCCAGUCAGACUGGCUGUCUGAUCCAGUGUACAGAGGAUCACUGCAAAAUUGUUUGCAUAAUAAUACUAUUGACUGCCCAGAUCUCAUAUAUUUUCUAGUAAGGAAACUUUUGGUUUGAGGUGGUUGGUAAUAUGAUCUCUCCUGUAGUUUAAAUAUUUGUGCCUAACUCCUAAUUUGGGGUAUAGUUGAGGUUAUCUAUAUUUGUAAUUCCUAUCAAGUCAGGAUCAAGUCUACAAAGGAAGCUGCAAAUGUAGCACUGAAGUCCAGGGAGGUAAGCCAAAUGAAAUCUUACUCAAGAAGCAAAGUUCUUUGUAUCCAGCCAGCUGCCAUGCCUUAUACCCUCUAGUAUGCCUAAAGAGAAAUGAAGCGUUAUACCACAUUUACGUUACACUUCCUUGGAUUAACAUCACCAACAGAUGAGAACCGUGUUAUGUAUCAUAUAUGAUUUUUGGUGUGAGAUCUCAGCUACAAAUCUCAUUUAAUGCAUGUUGUAACAAAGUGUUUUGCUAUAAUGUACGCUAUCAUUCCAAUAAAGAUUACAGAUCCCA